CUCAUUACAUUUACCAGUAAUCUUUUUUUUUUUUUUACCUUUACCAGUAGUCUUAUGGAUUUAAAUUACCAGCUGGGGUCACUUGCUUUCAGCUUGAAGAACUUUCUUUAGUAUUUCUUUUAAGUGACAUCAGUGAAUGGGCUGGUCUGGAUGGCUUCACUCAUAUUUCUGGUGCUUUGACAAGGAUGAUUAGAAGACUGGACUUAGUUGGGGCUGAAUCCUUCUUCUUCAACUUGGUGGACUGAUGAAUUACCUGGGACAUCUUCUACCUUGACAUUGGCUUGCCCAGAAUCCAGGAGCACAUACCGCUGAUCCCAUCAGUAGUUAUGG
rnacentral:lncRNA from 1 species